CACUCACACACUGCCUCUCCCCACAUUUUUUUCAACGUCUCUCUUUCUCUGUCGCGCGCGUCUCCGUUUUUCAUGUUGCUAACCAUUGAUUCCUGGUAGAUAUAUAUAAAUACAGCUGCACGUAUGAACUAAGUAGUAGCCCACCAGGUAGCACUUCAAAGACCUUCCUUGUUUUACCAUCGAAAGGAAGUACCAAGACAUUGUCAAGUUACAUAUUUUGUAGGCUUUCUACAAGAAUGGAAUUUGACAUUCAAACAGGAAGGUCAAGUGAAAACAACAUCUCUCCCAGAUACGAUUUCAAUGAAGUUCAGAAUGUAGCUUUUGGCGGAGGAUCAAUUCAUCACUACAACGUGAACAACUUUUUUAUUGUAAACACUGAGAUACUCGUAGAAGUACUAGAAGAAAUUAAAAUGCAGGACUUCAAGGUGGAAACCUUCGAUGAAAAUUUUGAGGAUAUAGCAAAAAGGAUAAAUUCAAAAAUGUCAAAAUCAAGGAAAGGAAAUAUUGGUUCGCGUUGUGUUGACAGAGUCUGUAAAUGGUUGAAUGCAAUGCGUCACUCUACACCAACCGUUGCAAUAAAAUUAAACAUUCUUAAGAUAAUAAUGAUGGCUAAGGACAAUCUAUUAUCUUGCAACAGUUAUAUUAGAUUGGUAUAAUCAAGCGAAAAGACUGGUUUUGUGCUACUGGUGUGUAGACUAUCAAGGCCCGAGAUGUUUAUUGCCUUACUCUGCUGGUGUCUAGACUAUCAAGCCCCGAGAUGUUUAUUGCCUUACUCUGCUGGCGUCUAGACUAUCAAGGCCCGAGAUGUUUAUUGCCUUACUCUGCUGGUGUCUAGACUAUCAAGGCCCGAGAUGUUUAUUGCCUUACUCUGCUGGUGUCUAGACUAUCAAGGCCCGAGAUGUUUAUUGCCUUACUCUGCUGGUGUCUAGACUAUCAAGGCCCCCCCCCCAUGUUGAUUUGCCUUACUCUGCUGGUGUCUAGACUAUCAAGGCCCCCCCCCCCAUGUUGAUUUGCCUUACUCUGCUGUUGUCUGGGCUAUCAACAGAGCUAGGCAGGCCUUAGAGUGGAACCCCCAGGGAACAAGACGCAGAGGAAGACCAAAAAGAACAUGGCGACGCAGUGUACUUGAAGAAGCAGAGAAGACCGGGAAGAACUGGGACACCAUCAAAAAGCUAGCAAGAGACCGUGGAGAGUGGCGUGUUUUUGUCGAGGCCCUAUGUUCCAUGAGGAACUCAAAGGAGUGAUGAUGAUGAUGAUGAAGAGAAAUUAGCGAUGGUCCAUUCAAGGAUUAUACAUGAAUAAUUCAUUUGAUUGAAAACAAUUUCGCCAAUUGUUCAAUCAAAUUGGGAGAGAUGUCGGGGUCCUAGGAAAUCUCAUGCUUGCCUCCUCGUGGUGGACCCUGGGUGAAACUAUCAAUACAGAACAAGUUUCAGCUAAAUAAGCAUGAGUUUUGUCUCUUGUACCUUAUAAGAGGUGAAACUGUGAAAGAAAGAAAAAAAGUUUCGAAACAUUCGAAUGAAGAACAAAUGAAUGUCUACAAGCAUAGGAUAAGUAUUAUGAUUACCACUCGAUGAUAGAUAGAUAGAUAGAUAGAUAGAUAGAUAGAUAGAUAGAUAGAUAGAUAGAUAGAUAGAUAGAUAGAUAGAUAGAUAGAUAGAUAGAUAGAUAGAUAGAUAGAUAGAUAGAUUGAUUGAUAGAUAGAUAGAUUGAUAGAUUGAUAGAUAGAUAGAUAGAUAGAUAGGGUUUGGUCCCCCUAGAUAAGUGUACACAUUUUUUCCCAUACUCAUUAUCGGAUCAAGUUGAAGCUAUAAACAAUAAUUUACUAUACCUUACUAAACAUGAGUCAAUUAAAAAUGAAGUUAAUUAAUUAAUGGUAAUUAAUUAUUUUGCUUGAUAUCGAAUUAUGGAAAUAACUUCUAGAUUGUUGAGAAAUAAAGUUCUAAGUACGGAGUCCUUCCCCUUGGAAAAGCUUUUUUUUUUUUUUUAAGGACUUCUUAAAUAUUUUUCCAUUGGUUUUGAUAAAUCUACAACAGUAGGAUACCGACGUUUGUUUUUACAAUGAAAAAAGAAAGAAUUGAUUUUGUAUUUCAAUCAAUUUAACUUAUUUGUCCCUAUAUUUCAAUGAUAAGAAUCGUAUUAUCUUUAGAACUACUUUCAGGACAAUAUACAUGAACAAUAUAUUUUUUUAAUUACAAACAUGAACAAGUUCAUUGGAAGAGCUCACAAUACAGUACACAAGUAGCUAUCCUAUAAAAGACAUGAACUCAACGUACAACGGCUAAUCAGAAACGGACAUGGAUCGUGGUAGACAUCUAUUUUGAGCUAAUUGGGAAUUCACUUUACCACGAGAUCUAUGUGAUCAGACACCAUUUCAUUUAAUCCUUGAAAAGUUAAAGGGAAAGCAUGAUCUACAGAGCGGAAAGGUAACACGUUCAGGACCUACAGAAACUAAGAAAAACGCAAAAACAUGGUCUAUGAAAAUAAAUAUAUGAUAAAUAAUUUUUUUUUUUUUUUUUUUUUUUUUUUGACAUUGUGAUUGAUGCAACAAAAUAAAAAUUAAUAAUAUUCU